rnacentral:lncRNA from 1 species
UUUUUAGGUUGUUGGAAAGUUGUUGUUUCAUCAAUAGGCACCAUAACAAGAUCAAGCGGUUACUCUUGAUAUGUCACACAUGGGUGUGGUUUAUUUGGAGGGUGCGUAAUGAUUUUAUUUUCUUGGGAGUGAUUCCGAAGUUGAAUGAAGUAGUUGAUGCCAUCAAAAACAUCUCUUGGAAAUGGUUUGUAUAAUAAGAAAACCCUUAAUGUGGGUUCUAUGAGUGUUUUGUAAACCCUUUUGGUUUCUUCUUAGUAUUUUGGGCGUUUUAGUUUAUGGAUUUAGUACCACAUGUACUCUUUCCCUUUUGUAGGAAUUGAGUGCGAACGUGGAGCAUUUUCUCUCCUUGGAAAAGCUGAUUGUACAUGAUUCCGAAGUAGAAAAUAUAUUUUGUCUCAAUGAAGUAAGUGAGCAGCAGAUGAACUUUGGGUUGCAAGACAUUGAGUUGCAUAAUCUACCUAUGAUAACAUGUCUU